CCUACGGGAGGCUGCAGUGGGGAAUAUUGCACAAUGGGCGCAAGCCUGAUGCAGCCAUGCCGCGUGUGUGAAGAAGGCCUUCGGGGUGUAAAGCACUUUCAGCGGGGAGGAAGGCGGUGAGGUUAAUAACCUCAUCGAUUGACGUUACCCGCAGAAGAAGCACCGGCUAACUCCGUGCCAGCAGCCGCGGUAAUACGGAGGGUGCAAGCGUUAAUCGGAAUUACUGGGCGUAAAGCGCACGCAGGCGGUCUGUCAAGUCGGAUGUGAAAUCCCCGGGCUCAACCUGGGAACUGCAUUCGAAACUGGCAGGCUAGAGUCUUGUAGAGGGGGGUAGAAUUCCAGGUGUAGCGGUGAAAUGCGUAGAGAUCUGGAGGAAUACCGGUGGCGAAGGCGGCCCCCUGGACAAAGACUGACGCUCAGGUGCGAAAGCGUGGGGAGCAAACAGGAUUAGAUACCCCAGUAGUC
rnacentral:rRNA from 1 species